rnacentral:snRNA from 1 species
AUAUGUGAGAGUGAUCUGGCUUUGACAUCUGUCACCCAUUGUUCAUCAGGGUUGAUACAUCUGAUCUGCUAACUAGGCAGGUGUCCCCUUCCUCUCUCACCAAUCCAUGUACAUCCCUCCCGAAGCUGCAAGCUCCAUCAAAAACAACAACUUUCUCCCAUAAAAAAGGACCAGCCUUUGGUGAAGGGUAUAGCUAUGCUCCCCUGGUAUUGUCCAAUCAAACUCCCAAGUACAUGUGAUUGCACUCAUAGUUAUCUAUGUUAAGGUGUGCAAGUAUACUGUGUGUACAUGUAUUUCGGUGUGUUUACAUGUAUGU